UACGGGGGGAGCAAGCGUUGUUCGGAUUUACUGGGCGUAAAGGGCGCGUAGGCGGCCACCGCAAGUCGAUUGUGAAAUCUCCGGGCUUAACCCGGAAAGGUCAACCGAUACUGCGGGGCUAGAGUGCAGAAGGGGCAACUGGAAUUCUCGGUGUAGCGGUGAAACGCGUAGAUAUCGAGAGGAACACCGGAGGUGAAGACGGGUUGCUGGGCUGACACUGACGCUGAGGCGCGAAAGCUAGGGUAGCAAACGGG
rnacentral:rRNA from 1 species